rnacentral:lncRNA from 1 species
GGAUGGUCUCUUUGGGAGGCAGACGGAAUUCUGCACAUAGAAUCAGCUCAUCCUAAUGUAGAGGAUGCUAAGCUGUUUGGCUCUGAUUAUUUCGAAGAUCCCACUUUUUUUUUUUAUCUGUUAGCAUGACUGCUUGUCACAUUGUCAUAUUAUUGUGUUCCUUGCCUUAGGACAG